UACGUAGGGUGCGAGCGUUAAUCGGAAUUACUGGGCGUAAAGCGUGCGCAGGCGGUGAUGUAAGACCGAUGUGAAAUCCCCGGGCUUAACCUGGGAACUGCAUUGGUGACUGCAUUGCUGGAGUAUGGCAGAGGGGGGUGGAAUUCCACGUGUAGCAGUGAAAUGCGUAGAGAUGUGGAGGAACACCGAUGGCGAAGGCAGCCCCCUGGGCCAAUACUGACGCUCAUGCACGAAAGCUAGGGGAGCAAACAGG
rnacentral:rRNA from 1 species